rnacentral:tRNA from 1 species
UCCCUGGUGGCUCAGCGGUAAAGAACCUGCCUGCAAAUGCAGGAGCUGCAGGAGACUCAGGUUCAAUUCCUGGGUUGGGAA